CGGAGUGUGGCGCAGCCUGGUAGCGCACCUGCUUCGGGAGCAGGGGGUCGGAGGUUCGAAUCCUCUCACUCCGA
rnacentral:tRNA from 1 species